CCGAACGCACGCUGGCGGCGCGCCUAAUACAUGCAAGUCGAGCGAGAAGGUGUAGCAAUACACUUGUAAAGCGGCGAACGGGUGAGGAAUACAUGGUAACCUACCAUCGAGUGGGGAAUAACCAGCCGAAAGGUUGGACUAAUACCGCGUACGCCUCCAAAUCUUCGGAUUCGGA
rnacentral:rRNA from 1 species